ACCCGCUGAACUUAAGCAUAUCAAUAAGCGGAGGAAAAGAAACCAACAGGGAUUGCCCUAGUAACGGCGAGUGAAGCGGCAACAGCUCAAAUUUGAAAUCUGGCGUCUUUGGCGUCCGAGUUGUAAUUUGCAGAGGGCGCUUUGGCAUUGGCAGCGGUCCAAGUUCCUUGGAACAGGACGUCACAGAGGGUGAGAAUCCCGUACGUGGUCGCUAGCCUUUACCGUGUAAGGCCCCUUCGACGAGUCGAGUUGUUUGGGAAUGCAGCUCUAAAUGGGAGGUAAAUUUCUUCUAAAGCUAAAUACUGGCCAGAGACCGAUAGCGCACAAGUAGAGUGAUCGAAAGAUGAAAAGCACUUUGGAAAGAGAGUUAAAAAGCACGUGAAAUUGUUGAAAGGGAAGCGCUUGCAGCCAGACUUGCCUGUAGUUGCUCAUCCGGGUUUCUACCCGGUGCACUCUUCUAUAGGCAGGCCAGCAUCAGUUUGGGCGGUUGGAUAAAGGUCUCUGUCAUGUACCUCUCUUCGGGGAGAACUUAUAGGGGAGACGACAUGCAACCAGCCUGGACUGAGGUCCGCGCAUCUGCUAGGAUGCUGGCGUAAUGGCUGU
rnacentral:rRNA from 1 species